rnacentral:rRNA from 1 species
UGGGGAAUUAUUGGUCAAUGGACGAAAGUCUGAACCAGCCAUGCCGCGUGAAGGAUGAAGGCGUUCUGCGUUGUAAACUUCUUUUAUUGGGGAAGAAAAGCACGGUUUCUACUGUGUCCGACGGUACCCAAGGAAUAAGCACCGGCUAACUCCGUG